CAAGCACUCUACUCCAACAGAUAAAUGCCUUGAAGACAAGCGAGCAUGGAAAAGAAGAAGAAGAAUACGAAGAAAAUAAGUUUGUUAUGUGCCUAUGGAAAGGGUUUUAUAGGUGCCUCAUAACCUAGUGUGUUUGUGCAUGCACAAAGCCACCUUAGUGUUCAAAGGCAACACCUCUUCAUGAAUGCCACCAAUAUUACAGAAGACUGAAUUGGUCUGCAACCAGAAUCAGCCUCCAUUCCUCCAUUUUUUGCUACAUGGAUAAAUGCAUCUGCCUCGGAGAGAUGGGAAAGACUGCUUGGCCGCUGGAAGCACAAGACAGAAACUUCAUGCAUCAUACGCAUCACUGAUGCUCAGGUCUGCCACAAGCUUCUUUCAUGAGCUUUGGAUUAUUUUCAUUUUAGGAAUUGAGUUCUCCUGUGUUACAUAUACUGUCCUAUGAUUUUCCUCACCCUCCUGCAAGGCUACUCAUGGACUAGUGUAUGAAAAACAGUAAAAUUAGGAACUGUGUGAAGAAAUGAUACAGUGUGGGAAGAAAGACAAUCAUCUUUAACACCUGACUGAGCAUCAAAUAUAGACUCAAUGGUCAGUGCAGAAAGGAUGCCCUUGGAGCUAACUUUUGCCUAACACAUGUUGUUUGAAUCUUUUUCUUGUCGUCAGCUCUGUGUAUGGUGCAAGGGAGAGAAGUGUGACUGCUUGGUGUGCAGUGGCUUGUGUCUGCAGUGCUCAGGGCGGCAUCCCCUGGAGCAGGGUGGCCUGAGUGCUGCUUGGCCAAGGUCUCCGCUGAUGCCCCUGGGACUCUGAGACAUAAAAAUCAUUAUUGUGUGUUAUUUUUAUGCAAAGUACUUUAUGUACUGAGGUGGCGUGUCACAGACUCCUCGGGUGGUGCCUGCUUGGUCAAGAGCAUGUAAGCUGCCCUGGGACAAGAUGGGAGGAUGCCAGCCUUGCUAGGACAGUGCUGGCAGCUCUCCCUGGGGAGAAGAGCUGGAUACAGUGUCAUCUGUGGCCAUAAUGUCUGUCUGCAUUGUUCGUCCAUUGCCUUUGCUCAGAUUUCCUCUGGGAGGAAAAUGAUUGAUUUACUCCAGAAGGAAUGAACUGCCAUGCAGGCACUAUAAAGGGCAACAGAAAAGAGUUGGGGAGAGAGAAAAGAGAAUCCCAGCUCACAUUUUUACCAUAAUUGUACCCUGGACAGCAAUCCCCAAGGUGAAAGAGAGUAUUGGAGUCUACUCUUACUGUGACUGUGGGCCACACAACGUGCAGAAGGCUCUUAAAAUCUAAAUUUUCUGACAUGAUUGCUGCUUCAAGUGAUCAGUCCCUACAGUACAAGAUAGUGUAACCUAAUGGCCCCUGCCAUAGUAAUGCCAAUACAAGAGCAUUUCUUUUUCUCAGCUCACUUUGCUGCAUGUGGGAACAGACUUGUCAUUGAUGCUUUAGAUUCUACACUUUACCCUACACUAAAAGGUAUAGAUCAUUUCUGAAACCAGUGUUCUUUCUCUAAGUAGUGGAAAACGUAAUAUGAGGCACUCAUGGUUUACAUUUGCAAACGCUAUCCCUACUCCCAACCCUAACUCUGAUGUCAGGGUGCCAAUCUUUGCAGGAAAAGAACAUGUAAAGGAGAAAUGACUCUUGCCAACCUUAGUCGUCUUCAUAGCCUUAUAGGUGCUGUAACAUUCAGCAAUACACUGGGCUYCUGAAACUUUAGGUUUUCCAGCUCUUCAAAACCUGAUCACAGUUACAAUCAGGGAACCAAUCUCUGUUGUAAAAGAGCACGCAAAGAAUUUGCCCUUCUGAACACAAAUUUUCUYGUUAUCUCUGCGGGCCCUGCAUACUCCCAGAUGUAGUUAUGCUUCUGAAGUUUUAUAUUCCCCAAGCUGUAACUAUAAUCCAAACACUAACCUAAUGUUCUUCACAGCCAGGAGAUGAGCCCCUUCCCUAAAGAAGCACAUAUUUUUACCUCUACUAGCACCAGCUCUCCUGCCAUUGUUGAAGGCCCUAUAGGAUGUAUAUCUCAUUGAAGUGGGCUGCAGAAGCCAAAUCUACCCCAUCCCCUGGUCCUACUUACAGCCAAAGGAUCAUUCCUCAUGGAAAAAGAGAACUUAUGACCCCAGUCACAACUGCACCAGUCCUUUUCCUGGCUCUUCGGUCCCUCUAGAGUCCAUGAGUAGGCUGGCCUCUAUAAAGCGUUGAUGUCCUCAACCUAAUUUGAACCCCAGCUGUGUCCUUAAUUCGGCAAGAGGACCACAGUCCAAGUGAAAACAAGGAAUUUGUCCCCAACACCAGCUUUCUGCAUAAUUCUGGGGGCUCUGCAGAAUCCACAUGAAAAUUGGGCUCUCAAAGCAUUAGAAUCCCAAAUCUUUGCCAUAAACCCAGUCCUAACAUUGACCUUCUUUUUACCCCAGGAGCUAGUAAUCACAGUAAAAGAGAAUGCAACACCUACGAACAUCUGCCUCCUUCCUAAACCUGUGGCUUUUGACAUACUCUGCAGGAAACUAGCCUCAUAAAGCUAUUGCUGUGUAUACACUGGCUUUGUGGAUGGCAUCGGGCAGAGAUCCUGGGGCAAAUGGAUGUGCAGGGGUUAAAUCCUGGCUACUCAACACUUACAAGCUCUGGAGAGAGAGAACUGGCCACAGCUGCCUGCAUAGCAGCUGAAACAUUAAAAACACACGCACUCACACACACAUGCACUCACACACAUACAUGGUGUCUCCUCUGUUCAAAAUACAUAUACUAAUGGUAUGGCUUUGCUUGCAGCCUUCAGAGAAGGGCAUCUGAUAGCAUAAUGUUGUUAUAUUUCAUUCCUGAGAAGAAAGGUUUAGAGAGCAAAGCCUGCCAGGAUAUAGUUGAGAGAGUGUUUCUUCUGGAGGAAGCCAAAUUUGUUGCUUUCCAAUACCCUCUCUUUGCAGAUUCUGGGAGACACUGUCCCUUCUCAGGUGCCUAAGUUUCCUCUUAGAUGUUCACUCCGCAAAGGAGCUAGCAUGCAUACAGUAUGUGCAAUCAGGGGAGCAGAACAAAACAAGGAAUGACCCAAUUUGCCAAAGCAGACACAUUAGGCAGCUACUACCUUAAUUACCUACUGGGUGUCUCAGUUUAGGUGAUGUGACAGUUUCCCAGUGAUAACAAUUAUGUUUCUGGGCAGACAUUCACUUUUUUGGUGAGCUUAUCAAGGCCUGCUAGAUAAAAUAUGCAUGAACACAUCUUGCCCAUCCUUCACAGACAGGCUUCUCUUACCAGCAGGUUAGUAUGUGCCCUUGUGUAGCUGACAGUGUUGGGAACAUUUUUCAUCCUUGCUGCAGUAAAGUGACAGUGGAGAGCUUUCUGGGAAGUCUUUUAAACUUGUUCUUGGUACCAUUUUCUUGAUAUGAUUUGAUCCAUAUGUUACUGGAAAACAGUACAGCACAAACACAAGAAUAAUGCACAUCUUUUGAAAAAAGAGAGAGAUAGAGACAGUCAAGAUUAUGAAUGCUGUAUUUUUUUUUAACUUUGUCUCAUUCCUGAAGCUGCCUUCAGCAAUUUCUGUAAGAAAAGAUUGUUAUUAGUGUUGGUAGUAUUGCAGUAACAUUCAGCUAAUGAUUUUUAGGAAAUGGUUACAGAGAUACCUGUUUGUUUGUGUGUGUACAUGAAAAAGAAAUAUGCCAUUUAUAUAAAAUAUCCUGUCUGCAUGUACCCAGUUAGUAUUUGAAGACUGUUUAUAGACUGUUAUACUCUGUUGGUGCUAAAAUUGAUUUCUUGGCUUAAUUAUUUUGCAAUAGGAUAAACCCACUAAUUGUGCACCUAAAUAAAAUUGAAUUUUAACAAAUU
ensembl:lncRNA